rnacentral:miRNA from 1 species
UAAAUUUGAAUUUCUGAUAAACAAUGAAUACUUCUUUUAGUGUAAAUAUACCUCAUGCAAUACUUGGGACAUACUUAAACUAAAAAAAUAUUUAUCUGAAAUUCAAAUCUAA